UUACACCUCCCCCCUCACUUCAGGGCCAGGUAACACCAAGAAGGACGCCAUGAGAGCGAAGGCCAUUGGGUAACCACCCUUUGCUCUCGCGCUGCGCGUCUCCCUGCCAUCAACCGCCACUGGGAGCGGUUGAGGGCGGCCGGCCUCGCGCUGGAACCUUGCCCGCCUCAAGGCUCCUGCGGCGGCGCACGGGGCAGGCCAGGAGCCCGCCCUAGGAGGGCCCCGCUGGAGAUGUGGAAAUGGAGGGACGCGGCACCUGGGCGCUUCCUGGGGCCAGACAACGCCCCCUCAUUGGAACCUCCAUGACCGUGCCUCUGAGAAACCAGCGCGUCUGCGACGAUCACUCCUAAUUUUCGGAUUCCUAUCAUCUGUCUCCACGUGAUAACACUGAAGAGCCUUCACGUUGAUGCAGGCCCAGGGCCUCAAGUGCAGAGACUGAGAGCUCUGCAGGACACAGCAUGGAGCCGCCAUUCCUCUAUGGGUGGAAGAGCAUGUGUCCUCUGAACAGGGGAUCCAAGCACUGAGAUAUUCUUUCUCAGCUGUCAGUGCGGCCCAGGACUUUCUGUGGGGAUGCUCAGACAGCAGGGGCCGGAGGACUUUUAGCCAACACCUAAAAUGGUCAGUCUUCACAAAUUACCUUUGGCUAAUUUGACUGUCUCUCCUCCUGGGGUCUAGGACUUCAAACAUGUACAGAAGCGAUUGCAGAAUUAAGA
rnacentral:lncRNA from 1 species